GAUGAACGCUAGCGGCAGGCCUAAUACAUGCAAGUCGAGGGGUAGAGGUUGCUUGCAACCUUGAGACCGGCGCACGGGUGCGUAACGCGUAUGCAACCUACCUUUAUCUGGGGGAUAGCCCGAAGAAAUUCGGAUUAACACCGCAUAAAAUCACAGAACGGCAUCGUUCAAUGAUCAAAUAUUUAUAGGAUGGAGAUGGGCAUGCGUGUCAUUAGUUAGUUGGCGGGGUAACGGCCCACCAAGACCGCGAUGACUAGGGGAUCUGAGAGGAUGGCCCCCCACACUGGUACUGAGACACGGACCAGACUCCUACGGGAGGCAGCAGUAAGGAAUAUUGGUCAAUGGAGGCAACUCUGAACCAGCCAUGCCGCGUGCAGGAAGACAGCCCUCUGGGUCGUAAACUGCUUUUAUCGGGGAAGAAUAGUUUUCUUGCGAGGGAAUGUGACGGUACCCGAUGAAUAAGCCACGGCUAACUACGUGCCAGCAGCCGCAGUAAAAC
rnacentral:rRNA from 1 species